UAUAUAAAUCAAUAAAAUGAAAUGAAAAACCUCUCGAAUUUUAAUUAAGAAUUGAAAAUUCCUUCUAGAAGAAUAAAUAGUACAUGUAUUUUUGUGUGCGGGUAUUCUGUAUUAUUUGUUUUGGUUUUUUUUUUUGAUUUGAUUAAUGAUGCUGUAAUAUUUGGAAACGUGUUCAAAUGACGAUGUUGCUUCUAUUACAGAAUAAAUGGUUGGAAGAAUCCAAGAAUUUUAUCAAGAAUAAACUGCUGUUGUUUGGAAAAUAUUUGCCAUCCAUGUGAUUCGCACACACCGCCACCACCACCACCAUUGGCUUAAUUUUGGGAGGAGGAAUUACCCACCACAACACAUCACCAUCAUCAUCGUCGUCGUAAAAAAACCAACAUGGUAUUUAGUUGUCACGUGAUUUUUUUUAAAAAAUUCAUAGUCUUUUACUGCUAAUAUAAUAAAAAGCAAACAAUCAUCGAUUGAAAAUGAAAUGAC